rnacentral:rRNA from 1 species
UACGUAGGGUGCGAGCGUUAAUCGGAAUUACUGGGCGUAAAGCGUGCGCAGGCGGUUCGUUAAGUUCGAUGUGAAAGCCCCGGGCUUAACCUGGGAACUGCGCUUGUGACUGCAAGACUCGAGUACGGCAGAUGGGGGUAGAAUUCCACGUGUAGCAGUGAAAUGCGUAGAGAUGUGGAGGAAUACCGAUGGCGAAGGCAGCCCCCUGGGUCGAUACUGACGCUCAUGCACGAAAGCGUGGGGAGCAAACAGG